UUUUUUUUUUUUUUUUUUUUUUUUGCGUGUGGAGGCGCCGCCGCAAGUGAAAUUUCAACUGAAGGUGCUUUAGAGUUCUGCAAGAAUGCUGUCCCUUUUGCGCCACCCGCCGCUACAGCUGACUCCUGUAGCAAACACUUCGGCCCCUUCACCCCAAGCAGCAGUGAUGGUUCAAGUAACGAUGUGGGAUCGUUAGAUUUUAGUUCUGACAGAGGUGCUCCAGCUCAAGUGCCUCGUAAGUCAACAGGUGCGUGCAGGGUUUCAACUACCUGCAACCAGGAUAUUUAGCCAAAUACACCGUGCCGUAUCCAGUUCUCCUCCACGAGACAGCCCGGUGCCCAUUUCGGAGCAGCGCUGUGGAGCAACACGCAUUGAUUUUCAAGAGCGCUGUAUUUCUUUGUCUUGUGUUUUACUACCGAAGUGAUAAAGACUUUGUGUAUGAACAGAAAUAAAUAAGCCUGGAAGCA